rnacentral:rRNA from 1 species
UGGAAAGAUGAAUCAAAGAAGGUAAUAAUCCUGUAGUCGAAAAUGUUGUCUCUCUUGAGUGGAUCCUGAGUACGACGGAGCACGUGAAAUUCCGUCGGAAUCUGGGAGGACCAUCUCCUAAGGCUAAAUACUCUCUAGUGACCGAUAGUGAACCAGUACCGUGAGGGAAAGGUGAAAAGCACCCCGGAAGGGGAGUGAAAUAGAACCUGAAACCGUGUGCUUACAAGUAGUCAGAGCCCGUUAAUGGGUGAUGGCGUGCCUUUUGUAGAAUGAACCGGCGAGUUACGAUUUGAUGCAAGGUUAAGCAGUAAAUGUGGAGCCGUAGCGAAAGCGAGUCUGAAUAGGGCGUUUAGUAUUUGGUCGUAGACCCGAAACCAGGUGAUCUACCCUUGGUCAGGUUGAAGUUCAGGUAACACUGAAUGGAGGACCGAACCGACUUACGUUGAAAAGUGAGCGGAUGAACUGAGGGUAGCGGAGAAAUUCCAAUCGAACCUGGAGAUAGCUGGUUCUCUCCGAAAUAGCUUUAGGGCUAGCCUCAAGUGAUGAUUAUUGGAGGUAGAGCACUGUUUGGACGAGGGGCCCCUCUCGGGUUACCGAAUUCAGACAAACUCCGAAUGCCAAUUAAUUUAACUUGGGAGUCAGAACAUGGGUGAUAAGGUCCGUGUUCGAAAGGGAAACAGCCCAGACCACCAGCUAAGGUCCCAAAAUAUAUGUUAAGUGGAAAAGGAUGUGGCGUUGCCCAGACAACUAGGAUGUUGGCUUAGAAGCAGCCAUCAUUUAAAGAGUGCGUAAUAGCUCACUAGUCGAGUGACACUGCGCCGAAAAUGUACCGGGGCUAAACAUAUUACCGAAGCUGUGGAUUGUCCUUUGGACAAUGGUAGGAGAGCGUUCUAAGGGCGUUGAAGCAUGAUCGUAAGGACAUGUGGAGCGCUUAGAAGUGAGAAUGCCGGUGUGAGUAGCGAAAGACGGGUGAGAAUCCCGUCCACCGAUUGACUAAGGUUUCCAGAGGAAGGCUCGUCCGCUCUGGGUUAGUCGGGUCCUAAGCUGAGGCCGACAGGCGUAGGCGAUGGAUAACAGGUUGAUAUUCCUGUACCACCUAUAAUCGUUUUAAUCGAUGGGGGGACGCAGUAGGAUAGGCGAAGCGUGCGAUUGGAUUGCACGUCUAAGCAGUAAGGCUGAGUAUUAGGCAAAUCCGGUACUCAUUAAGGCUGAGCUGUGAUGGGGAGAAGACAUUGUGUCUUCGAGUCGUUGAUUUCACACUGCCGAGAAAAGCCUCUAGAUAGAAAAUAGGUGCCCGUACCGCAAACCGACACAGGUAGUCAAGAUGAGAAUUCUAAGGUGAGCGAGCGAACUCUCGUUAAGGAACUCGGCAAAAUGACCCCGUAACUUCGGGAGAAGGGGUGCUCUUUAGGGUUAACGCCCAGAAGAGCCGCAGUGAAUAGGCCCAAGCGACUGUUUAUCAAAAACACAGGUCUCUGCUAAACCGUAAGGUGAUGUAUAGGGGCUGACGCCUGCCCGGUGCUGGAAGGUUAAGAGGAGUGGUUAGCUUCUGCGAAGCUACGAAUCGAAGCCCCAGUAAACGGCGGCCGUAACUAUAACGGUCCUAAGGUAGCGAAAUUCCUUGUCGGGUAAGUUCCGACCCGCACGAAAGGCGUAACGAUUUGGGCACUGUCUCAACGAGAGACUCGGUGAAAUCAUAGUACCUGUGAAGAUGCAGGUUACCCGCGACAGGACGGAAAGACCCCGUGGAGCUUUACUGUAGCCUGAUAUUGAAAUUCGGCACAGCUUGUACAGGAUAGGUAGGAGCCUUUGAAACGUGAGCGCUAGCUUACGUGGAGGCGCUGGUGGGAUACUACCCUAGCUGUGUUGGCUUUCUAACCCGCACCACUUAUCGUGGUGGGAGACAGUGUCAGGCGGGCAGUUUGACUGGGGCGGUCGCCUCCUAAAAGGUAACGGAGGCGCUCAAAGGUUCCCUCAGAAUGGUUGGAAAUCAUUCAUAGAGUGUAAAGGCAUAAGGGAGCUUGACUGCGAGACCUACAAGUCGAGCAGGGUCGAAAGACGGACUUAGUGAUCCGGUGGUUCCGCAUGGAAGGGCCAUCGCUCAACGGAUAAAAGCUACCCCGGGGAUAACAGGCUUAUCUCCCCCAAGAGUUCACAUCGACGGGGAGGUUUGGCACCUCGAUGUCGGCUCAUCGCAUCCUGGGGCUGUAGUCGGUCCCAAGGGUUGGGCUGUUCGCCCAUUAAAGCGGUACGCGAGCUGGGUUCAGAACGUCGUGAGACAGUUCGGUCCCUAUCCGUCGUGGGCGUAGGAAAUUUGAGAGGAGCUGUCCUUAGUACGAGAGGACCGGGAUGGACAUACCUCUGGUGUACCAGUUGUCGUGCCAACGGCAUAGCUGGGUAGCUAUGUGUGGACGGGAUAAGUGCUGAAAGCAUCUAAGCAUGAAGCCCCCCUCAAGAUGAGAUUUCCCAACUUCGGUUAUAAGAUCCCUCAAAGAUGAUGAGGUUAAUAGGUUCGAGGUGGAAGCAUGGUGACAUGUGGAGCUGACGAA